AAUGAAUUGACACUGACUAAAGAGAAGAAGAAAUGAAUUGACACUGACUAAAGAGAAGAAGAAAUGAAUUGACACUGACUAAAGAGAAGAAGAAAUGAAUUGGGACUGGAAUUUAUUGAAAUACUAAUUAAAGGUUAAACAUAUUAAAUGUUAAAGGUUGAAAACGUUGGGAGAUAUUAAAGGUGUUAAAAUAAUGCAGGUGAGGAGAGUUAUAAUGUAGUUUUCUUUAAGUUGUGAAUCAUAUAGACUGUGUUUCAUUCUGCUUAGAGGACAAGGCCUUAGGAGGUUGAUAACGAGACGUUAUAAUGGUCAAAUGUUAUAAUGUUUAAAAUAUUGAAUUAUUAAGAUAUAACUGGAGUAAUAAAUUAGGUUGUAUUAAGAUUAGAAUUGAGUAAAGAUGGUUUGAAAAAUGUAUGUUUUAAGAAGUUGAUGUUAAUGAAGUAUAUUAAAAGGUGCUAGCUUGAUCUGGAAAUCCCUUGAGGUGACCUCAUUGACAGACAUGUUCUAGAACAUUCUAGGUGGAACCCUUAAGGUGACCUCAUUGAUAGAAGUGUUCUAGAACAUUCUAGGAGGAAUCCGUUAGGUUACCUCAUUGAUAGAAGUGUUCUAGAACAUUCUAGGUGGAAUCCUUAAGGUUACCUCAUUGAUAGAAGUGUUCUAGAACAUUCUAGGUGGAAUCCUUAAGGUUACCUCAUUGGUAGAAGUGUUCUAGUAGCUGUUAGUUUUUUAGACACCAACUGAGGGACUGAGCAUCCCGAGGGGGGAGACAAAAAUCUGUUUAUAAUUUGUAGAAGGUAAGAACAUGUUUUUCUUGUUGUUAAAUACAGCUUCUCAUGAAAUUGUUAUAGUUUUUAGGUAAAGGGUUUAGGUAAAGGGUUUAGGUAAAGGGUUUAGGUAAAGACGCUGAAGGCAUCUCUCAAUUUAAUCCAAGGUACAUUUUUGCGUAUCAUCAAUUGGUGAUAUUGAUUGAUCCGUUUUUUAUGCCUUUUUUUCUGUCAUUUUGAAUAAACUUGCUUUAUUGUUCUGAAA